GCUAGUACUAUACUGAUAUAUAUACUUAUGUAUUGUUUUAUUUUUGAUGUCACCAAUGCUCUUGAUGAAUGUAAAGACACGUUAUUUACAUGUAAAGAAAACUAUGAACGGUGUACAAACCCACCUAGCAAUUGGAUAGACUACAUGGAGAAAGGGUGUAUGUCAACCUGUAGAUAUUGUACAACAGAAAAUGUAGCUUUAGGCAAGACUACCAAACAGAGUUCAUAUUUAGACCAGACUGGAUAUAAUUCAUCUAAUGCUGUAGAUGGUGAACUUCAGGAUAAAUAUGGAUCUUGCUCAGUUACAAAUAAUGACAUCAAAUCAUGGUGGUGUGUUAAUUUACAGAAGCCAUACAAAA